GCUUAGAAACUUUUCUAGAAGUAUUAGUGUAAGUAAUUGCAAAUACUCAAAUGGUUGAUUGCUUAUAUUAGCAAAAUUAAUGCAUUGUAUAUGUUUAGAUGUAAUGUGGGAUUUUUGUUAUUUUGUUUUGUAUGACUAAAAGGCAUACUUGUUAAGUACUUAGAAGGUUUAGAAUUUUGAUUCUAAUUGAAUAUUAGAUGUUUGGGUCUAUUUUGCUAAUUCUCAUUGAGGAGAAAGGAAACAUUCUCUUUAUACCGCAAAUUAGAAAUAAGGUUUGCAUGCAUUUUUAUCUUUUUUGGACUUCACUUGUGAAAUCAUUAUGAGACAUUGAGUGGUGAAGCCAGGAAUUGGCAAAAGGCGUGCAAAUUUUCUUAUAGACAGUGAGUACCGUAUAAGGCCUGCUUGUAAAGUACUUCUAUAGAAGGUUCAAAACUUUGAUUCCAACUAUAUAUUGGAUGUGGUCUAUUUUACUUGUUGAAAUUGAGAAGAAUUAGGAAACAACCUUUCUAUCCCGCAAAGUAAGAAUAAGGUCCACAUACAUUUUAUCCUUUGUAAAUUUCACUUUUGAAAUCAUAGUGUGAAUGGCGGAGAUAUUUUUAUUUUUGCUCAUAUUUGUCUCCGCAAAACCUAAUUCCAAUUAUAGAGUUAAAAUCUUUUUCAGUUUUUCUCGGAUAUUUAUUUAUUUUCCUGUAAUUUGGUUUCUUUGGGGGGGUUUUAAAUUAAGACUGAUUUCAAGAAGAUAUUAAGGAUCUUUGUAUUCUUUGUAAAGUCUCUGUACAUUUAUUAUACCCUUCCAGUUAUGUUGUUAUGCCGAUUUAUUAUUAUAUAAUGUGGAUUUGGAUAUUGUUUCUGCACAUACUUAUUUUCUAAUGUUCGUAAAUCGCUAAUUUUAGUUUGAAUGUGUUUAUGAAUUGCUAAGCUUUAUUAUUUAGUAAUUUUUUGAUGUGAUCUUACCAUUUGCAAUAAAAUCUUAUUGAAAUUAACUGCCGCGAAGCAAACUACUAAGGAAUCAUAGAGAGAUUCAACUGAAGCAAGAGGAGAAAUAGGUAAGCUACAAGAGACUGGUCAGGAAGUUACUACUGAAAUGCGGGUAUAAACUAAUCAUGUUUUGCUUAAAUUCCCCAAUCAAUGCUAAUAUCAUUUUUGCAACGCUCUGUAUAUGCAUUUAUAUACUGAAAAGUCACCAAGUAUUUUGAUAGAUGAUUUUACAGUGCGAUGAUCUUGGUUCUGUUGUUUGCUUAUUUAGUGAGAAAAGAGAGAAACAUAGGAGAUAGCCAAGCUAUUCUGUCAGUUAAUACAUGUUCCGUCUUCCAAGUACUGAAGCACAAAGUUUGGGGAGUUUUCUAGCUGAGCUGAAAGUUGACAAGAGUAGCAAAGAGUGAAUUUUGUGAGAGGAAUGAGCUUGAGUUCUCCUCAUUCCUACUGGUCACGGUUACUGCUUGCUUGAGAGUUUUGGAGGUAUUACUUUUGAUUGGUUGCAUUGGCCACAAGCUCAUCAGUCAUUCAGCCAUUGAGUAUAGAUAAAAUCACUUGAUGUGAAAAAAGACAUUGAUUUGUUGAAGUUGCACGCACGCACACUCCACAUCUCUACAAUACUUUUGAAGAAAGGUGUAGGGAGAGGUCUCACACCAUUAACCAUAACUAACAUCAUGUGUCGUGAAAUCUUGAACAAAGAAUCUUUGAUCGAGGAGAUUGUUCAAGAAGCACUGGACUUCGUACUUCUUAGAUCAAAGUAAAGAUGCAUUCCUUGAGACCAUCUAACAUGUCACGUAUCACCGCCUUGAUGAAGUUUCCUGUUAACAUUGGCAUAUAGGUGAACAUAGGAGGAGAGUCUGCAGACACCUUUCAUUUGCAUGCAUCAACUUCGAAAGAAUAUCCUGAUUCAUUGUUUUCAAUUGAUUUUUUCAGUUAACUGGAAAUGACUAGCUAGGUUGUGAGUUAACUGGAAAUGACUAGCUAGGUUGUGACCAAGUUUGUCAAUUGUCAAAAACUGUAAAGUUUGUUUGUUGUUCAGCUUUCUAUGUUGGAUUAACUUGAAGUAACAAUAGCCUUUUCCUCAAAUAAUGUUUUAUGUUAUGAGUAUUAAUUUGAAGAAACAAUACUCUCUCUCUCAAA